rfam:Danio rerio chromosome 14, GRCz11 reference primary assembly.
AGCCUCAGCCUUAUCACCCUGUACCCCAAGACUGGUUACUCACUAAAGCUAAGCAGGGCUGAGCCUGUUCAGUACCUGAAUAGGAGACAACAUAGGAAAAAUAGAUUGAUGUUGGAA